GGUUGCGGCGGAGUCGGCGGUGUGGAGGCCAUGAUGAAGACGGCAGCCGGACCUCGGGCAGGAGCGCGCACGCACGAUGGGGAUUUUGGGGGCAACCUGAUACAUCACUGUAUAUUGGACUCCAUUGACAUGCACCUUUUGAACUCUUCACGCGCUGGUUUUUAUAUUGAGCCUAUUGUGAUUUCACAUUGAUGUCAGAGAACUUGUAAGGGUAGAUGCCCUUGACCAAGGUGAGUCACCAGUCAUGAAGCCCCCUGAUCUGGCUGACAUCCUUGUCACAGUCAAGAGCACUUUAACCAGAGCCAACAGGCUGAGUGGUGACUCAAGGUGCAAGCAGUUUACCCCCCCAGACUGAGACAUGCAAUCAGAAACCAGCGGCUCCUCUGUUUUUGUCUUUUUAUCUAUGUUUGGUCUAACAUGCCGGAUGAAGACAAAGAAGAAAAACAGUGUCCAACAGAUUCUGAAGCUUUCUAGCCUUCAAACAAUAAUAAAAAACAUGUGUAUAUUACAAAUGCAAAAUUAAUGCUAGGCUGGGAAUCCCCUAUGCAAGGAUAACAUGGAACUUUGAGUGUUAUUGUGCCUCACCUGGACGGGUGCAGGUGGUUACAAUCGUAAACCACAAAUGCAUUUGAAGUGGGACACGUAACAUCAGGAGAACAAGAGAGAGCUUGAUCCCCUCACUGCCACCACAUGAAACAUAAAUCCACGUCACAAGUUUGGCAAUCAAUUGAACCGCAGUCAUAACUCUGGUAACAUACAUGGGAAGUUCCAUAGAUAUUUUUUUUCCACAAUGUUGCUAACAAUCAAAUGAAAACAAGAUCUUCUAACUUGACACUUGUGUGACUUUUGGGGAAAAAAAGAAAAGACGUCAUGUACUGCGUUGUCAAUGACCGAGGUUUUAUCUGAUUAUAGGGGUCUUGUGUCUUUGAAGGGUUACAUCAAGAAUCAUGUUGACUGAUUACUGACGUCGUUUUUAAACUGUGGGAAAACCAGAAUGAGGUCCAUAUUGCUUUAGGCAAUGUAAUUCUAGUGAAAGACAAAUCCUAUUUACUUCUGGUUAGAAAUAUUUUGUGGUGAAUGACUACAAAGAGGACAUGUUGCUUCAUGAUGUUGCCUCGUGGGCGUAUUGGCCUCUUAUUAAGCAAACGUCACCUCGGGGCUAAGAUUUGUUCACAGCAAAAACUUUGUAAUUACUGACCUUCACAUGAAUUUAAAUCUCACUGUGCAGAACAACAAUAUUGGAAAAAAAUGAAACCGAUACUACACGUUCCGUUGGAUUCGACAUGCAGCCACUAAAUUCUUACCAUAAAACAGACCAACAAUCUGAAACUUCAAUUAUUAGAACUUGACCCUCCCCUUGAGGCUAACAUCUCUCCUGGAUCCGCUCGAACUUGUCUGGAGCAGAAAAGGAAAGAAACAGAUUCCGUCUGUAUGAGGGUGAUGCUGAUAAAGCUUCCAAAUCAACAAGCAAACUUUCCAUAAGCAUAAACGAAGGAUUCUGUUUAAGGCCCAACGAUUUGAUAGGUCACAGUUCAGCAGUGGAGCUUCAAAUGAGGCCUGGCAAGGAUCCACCCUCACGGUUCAACGGCCAGGCAGCACAUUAGCUCCAUGACACUCCUACUUCCCCAAGCCGCACUAUGGAAAAAUUCAAGUGGACACCGUUCCAGUCCCUUGUGGUCCUGGCAGGAGGAAAAUCCAUCGGAUAAACAUGCAGUAAAACCUCAAACGAGGUAUUACAGGCUGUGAAGGGAAAUUGGAUUCCGGGGGCACGUAGCAUUCUUGCUGGGUUGGCAGGGAGGACAGAUGAGGCAGCCCGCACGUCCAUCCGUCUGCUUGAUUGGAAACAGGCCUCGUUAAGUGGCCGUCCAGUUACGUGUGCGAUGAGCAGGUGACGUGCGUCGUCGCCAAGCCAGCCGCACGCACGUCCAUCAUCAUCCCCGCUAUCCUGCGGCGAGCUCUGGCUAGAUUUCAUUUUGCAGUCAUUAGCGUGUCACUUCCUGUUUCAAUCACCACGGCAGGCCCGUUGAAGAUAAAAAUCUGUUUUUUUUAUUUCAUUAAUAAAAAUACAUUAUGAUUUUAAUCGUGGACAUGAUACGGGCAAGUAUUAAAAGUCUACACACCCCUGAUAAAUCUGAUAUUUGAGCAGGGGUGUGUAGACUUUUUAUAUCCACUGUAUGUGAUCAUUUAUGCAUGAUGUAUAAUAGCAAACAAGAUUAGUAGUAAAAAAAAAAAUUAAAAACCUCAAAGAAUCCUGUUUAAACUCGCCUCUUUUAUCGUAAUUAAUAUUCAUUAGUUUACUUUGGAACUAUUCCCCGCUCGUUCCAUCUGUCACACCAAAAAUAAUUACCAGCACAGAGAGAGCGAGAGGGAAAAAAAAGUCUCUCAAUAUUUUUCUUCAUAUCUUCCUCUAGUGAGCUCAUUUGCAUGUUAUAAUCCUGCCAUCUGUGAAACCAAAUAUGGAAUUAUUUGCUCUGUGACCAGCAAAAUGAAAGCAGAAUAAUAAUAUCCAAUCCGGCAAAGGGGAAAUGUAAAAAAAAAAAAAUGAUUGGAGUGUUGAGCUUCUCCUGGGAGCAAUGACAGUAGUGUUUACUCUUAGAGGAAAGUUCAAAUCAUUAGCAAGUCUUUGUUAAAGUAAACCGGAGCUUGAGAUGAAGGUUGUCCUACAGAAAAUUAAGUGCAAGCACAAACACAAAUAUGUAAACACUUCCUCAAACAGCAGAGCAAAUGUCAGUCGAAAUGCAUUAUUAUUAUUAUGAUUGAAAAAUUCCUCCACAUUACUCCAGGUCAGCUUUUGCUUUUUCAGGUGGAGCUACAGACAGUCGCUGAGGUCAGACGGAGACGCUCGGUCUCCUGGACUCACUGCUUCCUGUCCUGGUGGAGAUUAUGAGAUGUAUUGCUAUACAUCUGUGUUUGUGUGUGAGCUGGGGUGAUCCUCUCAUGGCAUGGUGAUGACACAACCCUGUGGGUGGUCACCAACUGCUCAACCAGUUAAGCCGCACCAAAGGUGAUAGGAGUCAACAGGCAGUGUUAUUUCAUGGCAGAUUAAGCACAGUUGAGAAAUAAAACUUUUGCUCUUCUUGUUUACCCUCCUCCUCCUUCCAAGCACAUCCCCGGUUCCGUGCCAACCCUGAUGAAUGAACGCACAUUAAAUCAUGUGUGAAAUUCUGGCCGGUAUUUGUCAUGGGAUUAAGCGCACAUGUGUCAUGUCUGCAGUCACACAACUAAAGAUGGAGACGCCAUGUUGCUCCUCAACUUAAUAGUGGUCUACAUGUCCCUAAGGAUUUUUUUUAAACAAUUGCUACCUGAUAUCUGUUGUGUUUUAAGUGGAUGCUUCUCAGGUUACAUUCAACUGUGGGUGAGGUAUUUUGUUCCUCGCUUUCCCACACCACAUUGGAGUAUAUUCUGUCAUGCGUGGAAACGAAACACUUCAAUCCGCCCCGAAGAGAUGGUAAAAUGACAUAAGCUCAUUUUACCUGUGAGGAUGUCAGGAUGUCGCUUUCAGUUUUUCCAUCCAUCGGCUUUGCGUCAGGAAAUAUAUUUGUAAUCCUGUUAGAAGAGACCAGAAACACGCAGUAAAUAUUUUUCAAACCCACUUGAGAAUUGAAGUUCAAAAUGUUGCUAUAGUCAAAAUAAAAACUAUGUUGUAGUUUGAAUUCAUGUUUUCCAUCUGCUGCAUUGAUAUAAUUGACUUAAUGUGGGACCAGAUGAGUCAUCAAUGGCCCGGGAUGGCUUAGCACUAAUGAUCGGCAGCUUCGAAAUAAUCUCAUUUGCGUUGGGUUACUGAAUCAGACUUUCCGACAAGGAUUUUACAUUCUGAUCUAUGUAACUGCUUUUUUUUUUUUUAGCCAAAUAAGACCAAGGCUAACCAAAUAGACAUUAAUUAUUCUCAAUUAAUCACAUCUAGUACAGUGGUUUGUCUUGUUUCUAAGACAACGUCCUAAAUCGGAACACAACAUUGUUUUUAUCAUUAACAUGAGCUAAUGUAAUUAUAAAGUCAAAAUUACAGAAAAUAUUUGAUUGAAAAACACUUCUGGGUCAUGAAUAUAAAGUAAGCAAAUGAAAAACAGGAAGAGAAGAAUAAUUUGAUGGUGACAAUUUAUUCCCAAGACACUCCACAAACAAAACAAAUGCUUUAUAAGUGAGGAAGUGUCUCAGUAUGCUAAGAGAUUCAUUUCAAGCCUGGUCUCGAAAUGAAAUAUUAUCAUAUGCAGAAUGAUGGGCCGAAAAAAAAAUCAUUGGAAAUCAAUGAGACCUCUGUAGAAGGAAUACAAGAACCAGUAAGUGGAAAGCCAGUCCAGACAUGUCAGGAAAAACAAAGCAUCAUCUGUUUGGGUGUUUUGAAGAGAUAACAACUGCAAGGGGCCAGGCAUGAAUCCCUGCGGGAUCCCAAAUGCUAAAGCAGCUCUCCUCUGUUGAAGCUCAAACUAAUAUUUCAUUGAUUUUUCCUCAGCGCUGUGACAAGUUAGGGAACAGGUUUAGAAGACAGACAUCAGAGGUCCGACUCGAUUGUGGCAGGAGUGGAAAAGGGUUUGAGGUUUUCAUGCCGGGGGGGAAAUGCAGUCUGGCAGCGCUAUGCUAACGGGGAUCGUCAAGUUUGGAAGCAGCUGCCUUGACCCACUUCUCCUUUGCUUGCGACUCGGGAUUUGAUGCGCUGAAAUGUGCCAAGCAGGCGGGAAACAGCUCUAUUUUUUUAAUUUUUUAUUUGGGGACGGCUUACAUUUUUGGCCUCAACUUGCAGACAGGCGGUGGAAUCAAAUGACAAGUUCACAUUUGGAUGUUUUGUAAUUUGCCUUUCACAUUUAAUUUAACAACAUGUUCAUUGUGUAUAUGUAUUGCGGUUGUAAUUUAGAGCGAUGUAGAAUUGUGUUACAAUUUUUUUUCCCCUUGCCUUAAAACAAACACAACAGCUCCUGACAAAAUUGUGCAAUAACAUUCAGUCUGUACUCGUUUUUCCGACUUAGAACGGAAGCGCCAUUAAUCAUGUAAUUGAAACCUCAAGUUUAAUUUUACCCAGUACGAUCUCAUAUUUCUUCUGCAAAACACUCCUUUGUGCUUUCCAACCUAAAAAAAUCCCUCGCUGAAUUAUCUUCAAUAUUGAGCUGUU